rnacentral:lncRNA from 1 species
UCAGGAUGCAGAAAUCUCACCAGGCUCAAAGAGGACUGGUUGCAUGGGGUCACCCAGGCCAGCAGAGGCUACUGAGGGGCCAGGAUGGCUUCAGGGCCCACAGGGAAGAGCUGGUACAGGUGUGAAAGUUCUGUGGCCUGAAGACACCGCCUGUAGCUGAGGCUUAAGAAGAGACUCUUACUCCUUAUUUCCACCAAAAUGGCCAGCGUCCCUGAAGGCUGAGGACAGUGGAGACGACCCUCUUGGGAGGAACCAUAGCACCUCUUCCUACCCCUUCCCUCAAGGCCC